CUCUGGGAAGGGGCCGGCUUGGCCGGCAGGGACCCUGGGGAGGGGGCCUUCCCUGUAUGGCGCCCAGCUGGGGACGCGUGGGAUGACCAGAGGCCUUUAUAUCUUGUCGCCUCGUGGAACACAGGAGUUUCUGUGUAUUUCCAAACUGAGCAAGACUGGUUAUAAAGAAUCUCGAACUGACAUACUGAUCCAGUAAGAUGAGAAAAUCAGGCUCAGAGAAAAUAAAUAGCUUUGCCCCAAGCCUCAGUUAGGGAGAGCCAGAGCCAGCAUGCAAACCCGAGACUGUCUACCAUUUUCCUUGGAACCAGGCAGAGAAGAAGGAAAAAGUUCUAUGGUCAGCUUGGGAUGCAGCAGCGAUUAAGACAAACCCAGUGGCACCGUGACAUGAGCAAGUGGGUUCUCUGGC